UAAAACCCGGACGCGUCCCCUGUCAAAAAACCGGAUUGGAUAAUCGGCGACAGGUCCGAACUUUGUAAUUGGGGGGAUUAGUUCUGGUUGGGGGUCUUCGGUCAACAAACAAAAAAUAACGCAAAAACAAUUACAGGGACGAAGAACAAGUAGCAAUAUCGCAAAGUCCGCGUUUGGGAAAAACCCUAGACUCCCUCCCCCAAUUCGAUCAAGAAAGGGGAUUUUGGUGGCUAGAUCGGUCCCUGUGGAGGCUAUGUGCUCGUUUUUCUGGUUUCGGGGUUGAUUAAAUUAUUGGUCCGGAGGUGAUUCUGUACUUUCUGGGCCUUCAUUUUUGGCGGUGAAAAUGGAUUUGGUAGCUAGUUGCAAGGCAUCUUUGUUGUUUUUUUUUAUUUGAUUACACUUUUUUUCUUGAUGCUUGUUGUAUUAGUUGCUGAAUUUGCUGGAAAAAGUCGAGUUUGCGGCGAUUGUUUAUUCAAUUUGAUGGAUGAUGCAAUUUUG